rnacentral:rRNA from 1 species
GUUGAACGCUGGCGGCAUGCCUAACACAUGCAAGUCGAGCGAGCGGCGGACGGGUGGGUAAUGUAUGGGGACUGCCUGAUCGAGGGGGAUAACUGCUGGAAACGGUGGCUAAUACCGCAUACGAUCAGAUAACCCAUAUGGGAUUAGCUAGUAGGUGAGGUAACGGCUUACCUAGGCGACGAUCCCUAGCUGGUCUGAGAGGAUGAUCAGCCACACUGGGAAUGAGAAACGGCCCAGACUCCUACGGAGGCAGCAGUGGGGAAUAUUGGACAAUGGGCGAAAGCCUGAUGGAGCCAUGCCGCGUGUAUGAAGAAGGCCUUCGGGUUGUAAAGUACUUUUAGUCGGGAGGCGUUACCGACAGAAGAAGCACCGGCUAACUCCGUGCCAGCAGCCGCGGUAAUAC